rnacentral:rRNA from 2 species
GGCUGGAUCACCUCCUUU